rnacentral:rRNA from 1 species
AUUGAACGCUGGCGGCAGGCCUAACACAUGCAAGUCGAACGAGUGGCGGACGGGUGAGUCAUGUCUGGGAAACUGCCUGAUGGAGGGGGAUAACUACUGGAAACGGUAGCUAAUACCGCAUACCAUCAGAUGUGCCCAGAUGGGAUUAGCUAGUUGGGGGGGUAACGGCGCACCAAGGCGACGAUCCCUAGCUGGUCUGAGAGGAUGACCAGCCACACUGUAACGUAGACACGGGCCAGACUACUACGGGAGGCAGCAGUGGGGAAUCUUGCGCAAUGGGCGCAAGCCUGAGCGAGCCAUGCCGCGUGUAUGAAGAAGGCCUUCGGGUUGUAAAGUACUGUCAGCGGGGAGGCGUUACCCGCAGAAGAAGCACCGGCUAACUCCGUGCCAGCAGCCGCGGUAAUAC